ensembl:snRNA U6 U6 spliceosomal RNA
GUGCUCACUUUGGCAGGACAUAUACUAAAAUUGGAACAUUACAGAGAAGAUUAGCAUGGAUGACAUGUACAUUUGCAAAGUGUUCCAUAUUUUU